rnacentral:rRNA from 1 species
UGGCGGCAGGCCUAACACAUGCAAGUCGAACGGUAGCACAGAGGAGCUUGCUCCUUGGGUGACGAGUGGCGGACGGGUGAGUAAUGUCUGGGAAACUGCCCGAUGGAGGGGGAUAACUACUGGAAACGGUAGCUAAUACCGCAUAACGUCGCAAGACCAAAGAGGGGGACCUUCGGGCCUCUUGCCAUCGGAUGUGCCCAGAUGGGAUUAGCUAGUAGGUGGGGUAACGGCUCACCUAGGCGACGAUCCCUAGCUGGUCUGAGAGGAUGACCAGCCACACUGGAACUGAGACACGGUCCAGACUCCUACGGGAGGCAGCAGUGGGGAAUAUUGCACAAUGGGCGCAAGCCUGAUGCAGCCAUGCCGCGUGUAUGAAGAAGGCCUUCGGGUUGUAAAGUACUUUCAGCGAGGAGGAAGGCGUUGUGGUUAAUAACCGCAACGAUUGACGUUACUCGCAGAAGAAGCACCGGCUAACUCCGUGCCAGCCGCCGCGGUAAAAGGG